rnacentral:rRNA from 1 species
AGCGAACGCUGGCGGCAGGCCCAACACAUGCAAGUCGAACGAACCCUUCGGGGUUAGUGGCGGACGGGUGAGUAACACGUGGGAACGUGCCUUUAGGUCCGGAAUAACUCAGGGAAACUUGUGCUAAUACCGAAUGUGCCCUUCGGGGGAAAGAUUUAUCGCCUUUAGAGCGGCCCGCGUCUGAUUAGCUAGUUGGUGAGGUAAAGGCUCACCAAGGCUACGAUCAGUAGCUGGUCUGAGAGGAUGACCAGCCACAUUGGGACUGAGACACGGCCCAAACUCCUACGGGAGGCAGCAGUGGGGAAUUUUGCGCAAUGGGCGAAAGCCUGACGCAGCCAUGCCGCGUGGAUGAUGAAGGUCUUAGGAUUGUAAAAUCCUUUCACCGGUGAAGAUAAUGACUGUAGCCGGAGAAGAAGCCCCGGCUAACUUCGUGCCAGCCGCCGCGGUAAAAC